GAUGAACGCUAGCGGCAGGCUUAACACAUGCAAGUCGAGGGGUAGAGGUUGCUUGCAACCUUGAGGCCGGCGCACGGGUGCGUAACGCGUAUGCAACCUACCUUUUACAGAGGGAUAGCCCAGAGAAAUUUGGAUUAAUACCUCAUAGUAUACGUUUUUCGCAUGUUAGACAUAUUAAAGUUCCAACGGUAAAAGAUGGGCAUGCGUCCUAUUAGCUAGAUGGUAAGGUAACGGCUUACCAUGGCAACGAUAGGUAGGGGUCCUGAGAGGGAGAUCCCCCACACUGGUACUGAGACACGGACCAGACUCCUACGGGAGGCAGCAGUGAGGAAUAUUGGACAAUGGGCGCAAGCCUGAUCCAGCCAUGCCGCGUGCAGGAAGAAGCAUCUAUGGUGUGUAAACUGCUUUUGUACAGGAAGAAACACCCCGACGUGUCGGGACUUGACGGUACUGUAAGAAUAAGGAUCGGCUAACUCCGUGCCAGCCGCCGCGGUAAUAC
rnacentral:rRNA from 1 species